rnacentral:tRNA from 1 species
GCAAUGGUGGUUCAGUGGUAGAAUUCUCACCUUCCAUGCAGGAGAUCUGGGUUCAGUUCCCAGCCAGUGCC